UCGUACGCUUCUUUUUCCACCGGAGCUUGCUCCACCGGAAAAAGAGGAGUGGCGAACGGGUGAGUAACACGUGGGUAACCUGCCCAUCAGAAGGGGAUAACACUUGGAAACAGGUGCUAAUACCGUAUAACAAUCGGAACCGCAUGGUUUUGAUUUGAAAGGCGCUUUCGGGUGUCGCUGAUGGAUGGACCCGCGGUGCAUUAGCUAGUUGGUGAGGUAACGGCUCACCAAGGCCACGAUGCAUAGCCGACCUGAGAGGGUGAUCGGCCACAUUGGGACUGAGACACGGCCCAAACUCCUACGGGAGGCAGCAGUAGGGAAUCUUCGGCAAUGGACGAAAGUCUGACCGAGCAACGCCGCGUGAGUGAAGAAGGUUUUCGGAUCGUAAAACUCUGUUGUUAGAGAAGAACAAGGAUGAGAGUAACUGUUCAUCCCUUGACGGUAUCUAACCAGAAAGCCACGGCUAACUACGUGCCAGCAGCCGCGGUAAUACGUAGGUGGCAAGCGUUGUCCGGAUUUAUUGGGCGUAAAGCGAGCGCAGGCGGUUUCUUAAGUCUGAUGUGAAAGCCCCCGGCUCAACCGGGGAGGGUCAUUGGAAACUGGGAGACUUGAGUGCAGAAGAGGAGAGUGGAAUUCCAUGUGUAGCGGUGAAAUGCGUAGAUAUAUGGAGGAACACCAGUGGCGAAGGCGGCUCUCUGGUCUGUAACUGACGCUGAGGCUCGAAAGCGUGGGGAGCAAACAGGAUUAGAUACCCUGGUAGUCCACGCCGUAAACGAUGAGUGCUAAGUGUUGGAGGGUUUCCGC
rnacentral:rRNA from 1 species